UACGGAGGAUCCGAGCGUUAUCCGGAUUCAUUGGGUUUAAAGGGUGCGUAGGUUGUUUUAUAAGUCAGCGGUCAAAGCCCGGGGCUCAACCCCGGCCCGCCGUUGAAACUGGCAGUCUCGAGUUGGAGAGAAGUAUGCGGAAUGCGCGGUGUAGCGGUGAAAUGCAUAGAUAUCGCGCAGAACUCCGAUUGCGAAGGCAGCGUACCGGCGCCAGACUGACGCUGAGGCACGAAAGCGUGGGGAUCGAACAGG
rnacentral:rRNA from 1 species